AACGAACGCUGGCGGCAUGCCUAACACAUGCAAGUCGAACGAGACCUUCGGGUCUAGUGGCGCACGGGUGCGUAACGCGUGGGAACCUGCCCUUAGGUUCGGAAUAACUCCCCGAAAGGGGUGCUAAUACCGGAUAAUGUCCUCGGACCAAAGAUUUAUCGCCUUUGGAUGGGCCCGCGUUGGAUUAGCUAGUUGGUAGGGUAAAAGCCUACCAAGGCGACGAUCCAUAGCUGGUCUGAGAGGAUGAUCAGCCACACUGGGACUGAGACACGGCCCAGACUCCUACGGGAGGCAGCAGUGGGGAAUAUUGGACAAUGGGCGAAGGCCUGAUCCAGCAAUGCCGCGUGAGUGAUGAAGGCCUUAGGGUUGUAAAGCUCUUUUACCCGGGAUGAUAAUGACAGUACCGGGAGAAUAAGCUCCGGCUAACUCCGUG
rnacentral:rRNA from 1 species